CAACAUGCAGCCCAGCCUCAACGACUUCCUCAAGCCCCGCGCUUGCCCGCCCGCCGCCGACGCGCCCUGCGCCAGCCACCAGCCCGAGCUGGACCAGGACCCGACGUGCGACAAUGCGUCAGCGAGCGGGCCGAGCGGCGGGUCGCCGAGCGCGUCGUAGACGGCUUGUUGUCCCGCUCCCACGCCGGCUGGUGGUCCCGCUCGCACGCCGGCGCCGGCGAGCUGCCGCGGACGGGACAGUGAUGUCGUCGCCCGGUGGUGGACGACAACCGGUAUCAUUGGCCGCGAGCCGAGCGAACCUCUCCGAUACGGAUUUUAGAUUGAGAGUCAUUCGUAUGCUAACUAGAGAUAGUCCUUUUUAUUGGCCGUCGGGGAUAAAUUUUAUGCAUAAUAGGUGUUUUCGGCGAGUUAUCGUGUGAUACUGUAGUGUGAUUGUCGAUAAAGCUUGAGCUGUCGUAGUCGGUGAGAAGGGUAAAUCCGCUGUAGAUUCUAAACCGUCGCGAUGUGAUUACUUUGUACUUUUGUAAGCUCAAAUUGUCUCUUUGUGUACAUACCUUAAAUGUUGAGUUGGAGAGUAAUAUUUACCGGGUAAACGACAGAUGAUCACCUAGAGCGGUUGUUUCGUUUCGUUUCUUGUACUACCGUCACGGGAUCAGUGGCCGCCGCCGGUCUGACAGCGAUACUUUAUUGCGAGCGUAACCUUGCUUGGCCGUGUAAUCCGUAGGGCAGACAUAUUCUGUAGUGCAUUAGUGUAUUUAUUGUUGGAACGUAUCACUAACUCAUAAAACUUACGAAGCGUAUGCCUAGUGUUAUUUCAACGAUGAAACUUAGCAGAUGGUACAUUUUUCGCAUUCAUAGGGAGCAUACUUGUAAAUUUUUAUAACUAGCGUAAACUGAUCUCUCGAGAUAAUUUAUAAUGUUUAAUAAUAACUCGGAAUAUUGUAUUUGUAUAAACAAUUCAGAGAAUAUAAUUUUUUUAGAUUUACUACAUUAUAGAUUUUUUUUCGGGCAACUUCUAUAUGUAAUAACCUUUUUUUUAUUGCGGUGUACCUUAUUAAGUCUUAUCCAAACCUGGAUAAAUGUAAUCUAUUGGAUAGCACUGUCGAUGUCCUAAUGUAACGACAUAGUUUUUCGAUAAUAUUGUAUUCUAUAUUCAAUAAAUGAUAUUUCUAUUAUAUAAAAAAAUUGUCAUUGAAAACACUAUGGUUAUUAGUAGUCAUUUAUGAAACGGUGUAUAAAUAAAGCUAUUUUCAUUGUCAUAGUUUUUAAGUACGUAUGCGAACUAAUUUCGUUUUGCACUUCAAUUGGGCAUAAAAACAAAUUAGGCAAAGGUAGUAAACCUUUAACGUAGGAGUAACGAAAUUAUUAUGCGUGGAAUACGUAGUCUCAGCGCGCGACCAUCCGUUUACUUAGACGUGAAUGCGCGCUGACUUACGAAUAGAAGCAUUUGGAACGUAUGCAAGGUAGGUUAAAAAUUAUAGCGUUCUUCAUCGGAAUACUUUCCCUUCUCUACUAAGAUAUUGCUUCGUGAGAAAGGUCGUCUCAUUAAUUUUCCAUUUUCUUUAAAUAUGGAUAUGUCUUUAACGAUAUAAUUGUUGUAUUUGUGUAUUCGGGCGUAUGUGAUGGUAGCUCGAACACCUAAACAGCCUACGUAAUGUUAUAACCUAUCCUUUAGUAGCACGGUCACGAUUCACGUCCUAAUAAUGAUUACAGUUGAUCGAAAGUUUUAAAAGGUUAACAAGUGAAUGUUCGUCGCAAUUUCGACGUUAUAAAUAGUCAAAACAUUGUGAAAGUAACGUAUCGUUACAUUUACAUAAACAUACGCGAUGAUUUUAUCUUUUACAUGUAAUGAAAUGUAUGUGCUAGAUUUUUUUUCUUUUUAGCAUGCACUACUUAGUAUUUCCAAAAUCCUCGUUUUACCUUUGAACCCUGAAACGCAAUGACUUUUAAUUAGCUGUAAAAUUAUUGUAUCUUAAGGGAUGUAUCAUCGCCAUUCGGUGAGCGCGCGGCGCAUCGAUUUGAAAUCACACCUAGUGGAGCUUAGUUGUCGUCAAUAAGGCUAUUGAUUUGCUGACACCUUUAUAUGUCUUGUAAAUAUAUUAUAAUUAUCUUUGUGGUAUGACUCUGAGUGCCGUUUAUCGGUUACCGGGUGGGCGUAGGCUAGGAGGGUGAAGCCGGCGUCUGGUACCGGGCGCUGCGGUCCGGUACCGGUCGUCUGCCGCCCCGUACCGGGCGCCCGCAGCCUGCGACUGCCGGCACCGCUGCGGGCUCGGGGAAGUAGUUUAGAUACGCAUAUUUUUAUUAAGUCUAUCUAAUAUGGAUUUUGUAAUCGACGUUGCUUCUAAAGACCCUCUGUGUAAAAAGAUUAAGACAUACUAGUGACCUGAAUGUAUGAAAAUGAUGUUUAUUGAACUUUAUCCCACUGAAUUCUCACUCUCACGUUUUGCGUGCACAUUUACUACCUUUACGAGAAUUUCCGUAUAUAAAACACAUAGUUCGAAAUGGGGUUAUGACUUAUAAAUUAUUUAAAGUAAAAGGACUUUUUAUUAUUACUAUUACUGUAAUAUUAAAUUUAAUAGUGAGUGAAAUUUGUAUUUUGUUUUAAAAUUGUUUAACUGAAAUUGAAUACAUCAUAACACCCAUAUCGUUGUUAGUUAUGAAUGAAAAUAACAUAAUUAUAAAAGUAAAUAUUAAAUGAAUAGUA